rnacentral:rRNA from 1 species
AGGCGGGCGACUUAUCGCGUUAACUUCGCCACAAAGGWGUCGCUAGGCACCCAACGGCUGGUCGACAUCGGUUUACGGSGUGGACUACCAGGGGUAUCUAAUCCUGKUUGCUACCCAMGCUUUCGCACCUCAKUGUCAGUGKCAGUCCAGAAGGCCGSCUUCGCCACUGGKAUUCCUCCCGAUCUCUACGCAUUUCACCGCUACACCGGGAAUUCUACCUUCCUCUCCWGCACUCUAGCAUGACAGUUCCGGAUGCCGUUCCCAGGUUGARCCCGGGGMUUUCACAACCGGMUUAWCAAGCCACCUARGCGCGCUUUACGCCCAGUAAUUCCGAUUAACGCUUGSACCCUCCGUAUUACCGCGGCUGCUGGCACGGAGUUAGCCGGWGCUUCUUCUGCGAGUGAUGUCUUUCCUGGCGGGUAUUAACCGCCAGGCGUUCUUCCUCGCUGAAAGUGCUUUACAACCCGARGGCCUUCUUCACACACGCGGCAUGGMUGGAUMAGGCUUGCGCCCAUUGUCMAAUAUUCCCCACUGCUGCCUCUCGUAGGC